rnacentral:rRNA from 1 species
GAUCGCUGUGAUGCGGGCGGUUCGCUGCUCGUGACUCUGCGAGAAGUCCAUUGAACCUUAUCAUUUAGAGGAAGGAGAAGUCGUAACAAGGUUUCCGUAGGUGAACCUGCGGAAGGAUCAUUGUCGAGACCAAAAUACAUCAAGCGAUUUGGAGAACCCGUAAAAAUAAGUGGUGGCUAUUGUUGCCACGAUAAAAGCCAUCCCAGUUACUUCCUCAACCCCUUGGGGGAGGGGAUGUGAUGAAGGAUGGAUGAACACUCAAACCGGCGCAAUGUCGCGCCAAGGGAAUAUCGAAACACGAGGCCUUAAAUGGUUCUGGUGGUAUGUGGUGCUGAUGCAUGCCAUAUGGAUUGACACGACUCUCGACAAUGGAUAUCUCGGCUCUCGCAUCGAUGAAGAGCGCAGCGAAAUGCGAUACGUGGUGCGAAUUGCAGAAUCCCGCGAACCAUCGAGUCUUUGAACGCAAGUUGCGCCUGAGGCCAACCGGCCAAGGGCACGUCUGCCUGGGCGUCAAGCGUUACGUCGCUCCGUGUCAACUCCAGCCCUAUCAAUGGUGGGAUGGCGAAGUCUCGGAUGUGCAAAGUGGCUCAUCGUGCCCCUCUCGGUGCGGCGGGCUGAAGAGCGGGUUAUCUUCUCGUUGGCCACGAACAAUAAGGGGUGGAUAAAAGCGAGACAUAUUUUAUUGUGUCGUGUAAGCUUGAGAGAAGAUUAUAUUAACAUGUGAUCCCUUAACAUGCAUCAAUCUACGGAUGGCGUUUGGAAUGCGACCCCAGGAUGGGCGAGGCCACCCGCUGAGUUUAAGCAUAUCAAUAAGCGGAGGAAAAUAAACUUACGAGGAUUCCCCUA